GACGAACGCUGCCUGCGUGCUUAACACAUGCAAGUCGAACGGAAAGGCCCUGCUUUUGUGGGGUGCUCGAGUGGCGAACGGGUAAGUAACACGUGAGUAACCUGCCCUUGACUUUGGGAUAACUUCAGGAAACUGGGGCUAAUACCGGAUAGGAGCUCCUGCUGCAUGGUGGGGGUUGGAAAGUUUCGGCGGUUGGGGAUGGACUCGCGGCUUAUCAGCUUGUUGGUGGGGUAGUGGCUUACCAAGGCUUUGACGGGUAGCCGGCCUGAGAGGGUGACCGGCCACAUUGGGACUGAGAUACGGCCCAGACUCCUACGGGAGGCAGCAGUGGGGAAUAUUGCACAAUGGGCGGAAGCCUGAUGCAGCAACGCCGCGUGCGGGAUGACGGCCUUCGGGUUGUAAACCGCUUUCGCCUGUGACGAAGCGUGAGUGACGGUAAUGGGUAAAGAAGCACCGGCUAACUACGUGCCAGCAGCCGCGGUGAUACGUAGGGUGCGAGCGUUGUCCGGAUUUAUUGGGCGUAAAGGGCUCGUAGGUGGUUGAUCGCGUCGGAAGUGUAAUCUUGGGGCUUAACCCUGAGCGUGCUUUCGAUACGGGUUGACUUGAGGAAGGUAGGGGAGAAUGGAAUUCCUGGUGGAGCGGUGGAAUGCGCAGAUAUCAGGAGGAACACCAGUGGCGAAGGCGGUUCUCUGGGCCUUUCCUGACGCUGAGGAGCGAAAGCGUGGGGAGCGAACAGGCUUAGAUACCCUGGUAGUCCACGCUGUAAACGGUGGGUACUAGGUGUGGGGUCCAUUCCACGGGUUCCGUGCCGUAGCUAACGCUUUAAGUACCCCGCCUGGGGAGUACGGCCGCAAGGCUAAAACUCAAAGGAAUUGACGGGGCCCCGCACAAGCGGCGGAGCAUGCGGAUUAAUUCGAUGCAACGCGUAGAACCUUACCUGGGUUUGACAUGGAUCGGGAGUGCUCAGAGAUGGGUGUGCCUCUUUUGGGGUCGGUUCACAGGUGGUGCAUGCCUGUCGUCAGCUCGUGUCGUGAGAUGUUGGGUUAAGUCCCGCAACGAGCGCAACCCUUGUUCACUGUUGCCAGCACGUUAUGGUGGGGACUCAGUGGAGACCGCCGGGGUCAACUCGGAGGAAGGUGGGGAUGACGUCAAGUCAUCAUGCCCCUUAUGUCCAGGGCUUCACGCAUGCUACAAUGGCUGGUACAGAGAGUGGCGAGCCUGUGAGGGUGAGCGAAUCUCGGAAAGCCGGUCUCAGUUCGGAUUGGGGUCUGCAACUCGACCUCAUGAAGUCGGAGUCGCUAGUAAUCGCAGAUCAGCAACGCUGCGGUGAAUACGUUCCCGGGGCU
rnacentral:rRNA from 1 species